rnacentral:piRNA from 1 species
UAUUGGUGUAGAUGAUGAUCUUCUUGCCAAC